UCUGUAUGAGAAGUUCUCAAUUUAGAAAUUAAAAGUAUUUUAAAAUUGGUAAUAUAUUUGGCAGAUUGGUACUAUACCCGAGUAAAUCAGUUUAUCACUUGCAGAAGAUGGAGGCAGUGAAAUACCUCAGAGCAAAUUAUUCCCUGUGAAUUACAUCCUCAGCUCCAGCCUCCAAUCCCAGCCAGCUUCUGAGUUCCUUUAUAGAUCUUUUAUAUUGCCUUUUGGUUUUAUCCACCACAAGUCUACUGCUCUUCUUGCGGCGGCAGCAUCACACAGCUUUGUACUUAAAUUUUACUAAGGGGUGCUGCCUUCAUUGGAGGGCCUUGCUUGUCCUGCCAACAGCUGACGGUUUUGUCAUGUUGACCCUGGGAUAUUGUCUCUUUCUGGAAAGAGAAGUCUGAACAGUGUGUUUUCAAAAAGCACAGAUGAUAAAACACUUUUCCUUGUAUGAUUCAUUGACAACAAGGUAUUAACUAUUGGUCAAAGGAUUUACUGUGGAGGAGAAAGGGAGGUU
rnacentral:lncRNA from 1 species